rnacentral:rRNA from 1 species
GAUGAACGCUAGCGGCAGGCCUAACACAUGCAAGUCGAGGGAGAAGCCUUCGGGCUGAAACCGGCGCACGGGUGCGUAACGCGUAUACAAUCUGCCUUUCACAUAGGGAUAGCCCGAAGAAAUUUGGAUUAAUACCUAAUGGUAUAUAAGAGCGGCAUCGUUUUUAUAUUAAAGCUACGGUGGUGAAAGAUGAGUAUGCGUUCUAUUAGCUAGUUGGAGAGGUAACGGCUCCCCAAGGCGACGAUAGAUAGGGGUUCUGAGAGGGAUGUCCCCCACACUGGUACUGAGAUACGGACCAGACUCCUACGGGAGGCAGCAGUGAGGAAUAUUGGACAAUGGUCGGAAGACUGAUCCAGCCAUGCCGCGUGCAGGAUGAAGGUCCUAUGGAUUGUAAACUGCUUUUGUAAGGGAAGAAUAAGAGCUACGUGUAGUU